UUAACUAAAACCAAAUUAGAGGUAUAUCAUUGUUAAUGAUAAUAUUGAAUAUUAAUUCUAGUUAAG
rnacentral:tRNA from 1 species